rnacentral:rRNA from 1 species
CGAUGAGCCCAGCUUGCUGGGUGGAUUAGUGGCGAACGGGUGAGUAACACGUGGGUGAUCUGCCCUGCACUUCGGGAUAAGCCUGGGAAACUGGGUCUAAUACCGGAUAGGACCUCGGGAUGCAUGUUCCGGGGUGGAAAGGUUUUCCGGUGCAGGAUGGGCCCGCGGCCUAUCAGCUUGUUGGUGGGGUAACGGCCCACCAAGGCGACGACGGGUAGCCGGCCUGAGAGGGCGACCGGCCACACUGGGACUGAGACACGGCCCAGACUCCUACGGGAGGCAGCAGUGGGGAAUAUUGCACAAUGGGCGCAAGCCUGAUGCAGCGACGCCGCGUGAGGGAUGACGGCCUUCGGGUUGUAAACCUCUUUCAGUACCGACGAAGCGCAAGUGACGGUAGGUACAGAAGAAGCACCGGCCAACUACGUGCCAGCAGCCGCGGUAAUACGUAGGGUGCGAGCGUUGUCCGGAAUUACUGGGCGUAAAGAGCUCGUAGGCGGUUUGUCGCGUCGUCUGUGAAAACCCGCAGCUCAACUGCGGGCUUGCAGGCGAUACGGGCAGACUUGAGUACUGCAGGGGAGACUGGAAUUCCUGGUGUAGCGGUGAAAUGCGCAGAUAUCAGGAGGAACACCGGUGGCGAAGGCGGGUCUCUGGGCAGUAACUGACGCUGAGGAGCGAAAGCGUGGGUAGCGAACAGGAUUAGAUACCCUGGUAGUCCACGCCGUAAACGGUGGGCGCUAGGUGUGGGUUUCC